UACGAAGGGGGCUAGCGUUGCUCGGAAUCACUGGGCGUAAAGCGCACGUAGGCGGAUCUUUAAGUCAGGGGUGAAAUCCUGGAGCUCAACUCCAGAACUGCCUUUGAUACUGGGGAUCUCGAGUCCGGGAGAGGUGAAUGGAACUCCGAGUGUAGAGGUGAAAUUCGUAGAUAUUCGGAAGAACACCAGUGGCGAAGGCGGCUCGCUGCCCGGUACUGACGCUGAGGUGCGAAAGCGUGGGGAGCAAACAGG
rnacentral:rRNA from 1 species